ACCUUUCUUUGACCUGUUCUCUGGAAAGGAACAAAUUGGAAGUAAGAAGAACAUCAUUUAAAAAGAAAUCCUUGGAUCCUGGGGAGAUAGCUUGUUACUCACAUGUAAAAGAUGAGAUUUUUGACCUUCUAGAGAAAAUCAAAAAUUAAAGCAUAUUACAACUCUUAGAAACAGUAAAGAAAACAACAAACCAGAUAAGGUCAACAGGAGAGGUGUGCAGGUGGAGGAUUUGAAACAAUUCUAGGUGAAGAAAAAAAUAAAUAACUCUUACCCAGGCAGCAGCAUCCUGCCAGGGGAAUCUGGAGAUUAC
rnacentral:lncRNA from 1 species